rnacentral:rRNA from 1 species
CCUACGGGUGGCAGCAGUGGGGAAUCUUCCGCAAUGGGCGAAAGCCUGACGGAGCAACGCCGCGUGAGUGAAGACGGCCUUCGGGUUGUAAAGCUCUGUUACACGGGACGAACGGGUUUUGUGCGAACAGCAUAAGACCGUGACGGUACCGUAGAAGAAAGCCACGGCUAACUACGUGCCAGCAGCCGCGGUAAUACGUAGGUGGCAAGCGUUGUCCGGAAUGAUUGGGCGUAAAGGGCGCGCAGGCGGCCGGCCAAGUCUGUCUAAAAAGUGCGGGGCUUAACCCCGUGAGGGGAGAGAAACUGGUUGGCUGAGAGUAUCGGAGAGGAAAGCGGAAUUCCUAGUGUAGCGGUGAAAUGCGUAGAUAUUAGGAGGAACACCGGUGGCGAAAGCGGCUUUCUGGACGACAACUGACGCUGAGGCGCGAAAGCCAGGGGAGCAAACGGGAUUAGAUACCCUUGUAGUC